CCUACGGGGGGCAGCAGUGAGGAAUAUUGGUCAAUGGGCUUACGCCUGAACCAGCCAAGUCGCGUGAGGGAAGACUGCCCUAUGGGUUGUAAACCUCUUUUGUCAGGGAGCAACGCCGGCUACGUGUAGCCGGACUGAGAGUACCUGAAGAAAAAGCAUCGGCUAACUCCGUGCCAGCAGCCGCGGUAAUAGGGGGGAUGCGAGCGUUAGCCGGAUUUAUUGGGUUUAAGGGGUGCGUAGGCGGAAUGCCAAGUCAGCGGUAAAAUCGCGGGGCGCAAGCUCGCUCCGCCGUUGAAACUGGCGGUCGUGAGUGGGCGAGAGGUAUGCGGAAUGCGUGGUGUAGCGGUGAAAUGCGUAGAUAGCACGCAGAACUCCGAGUGCGAAGGCAGGAUGCGGGCGCCGAACUGAGGCUGAGGCACGAAAGCGUGGGUAUCGAACAGGAUUAGAUACCCGGGUAGUC
rnacentral:rRNA from 1 species